rnacentral:rRNA from 1 species
UGAGGAAUAUUGGUCAAUGGGCGCGAGCCUGAACCAGCCAAGUAGCGUGAAGGAUGAAGGUCCUAUGGAUUGUAAACUUCUUUUAUAGCAGAAUAAAGUGACCCACGUGUGGGUUUUUGUAUGUAUGCUAUGAAUAAGGAUCGGCUAACUCCGUGCCAGCAGCCGCGGUAAUACGGAGGAUCCGAGCGUUAUCCGGAUUUAUUGGGUUUAAAGGGUGCGUAGGCGGAAAGAUAAGUCAGUGGUGAAAUCUCCGAGCUUAACUUGGAAACUGCCGUUGAUACUAUAGGUCUUGAAUUAUCUGGAGGUAAGCGGAAUAUGUCAUGUAGCGGUGAAAUGCUUAGAUAUGACAUAGAACACCAAUUGCGAAGGCAGCUUACUACAUAUAAAUUGACGCUGAGGCACGAAAGCGUGGGGAUCAAACA